UACGUAGGGAGCAAGCGUUGUCCGGAUUUAUUGGGCGUAAAGAGCUCGUAGGCGGCUUAGAAAGUCAGGUGUGAAAACUCUGGGCUCAACCCAGAGACGCCACUUGAUACUUCUAUGGCUUGAGUUCGGUAGGGGACCAUGGAAUUCCUGGUGUAGCGGUGAAAUGCGCAGAUAUCAGGAAGAACACCCGUGGCGAAGGCGGCUCUCUGGGACGUGACUGACGCUGAGACGCGAAAGCGUGGGGAGCAAACAGG
rnacentral:rRNA from 1 species